GUUUAAAAAUCCUGAGUUGAGUUCAAUAUCGUAGCGGCUACGUAGCUGCUAUCAAUAUCUUUGUAGCAACUAGUCUAUAGCUACACGUUCAAUAGUCAAAAUCUACGUAGCAGCUACGAUAUUGAUCUCAACCCAGGACUCCGAAGUGUAUUUGUGGAUUUAAUUUCCGCAUGAACCACCAAAAGCCGAAUAUUUGAAGGCCUAUAGUUUAUAAGAACUGCAAUAGCUGAUUAAAAGUUAAAAAUGAUUGUUCAGAAUUGUACGUUUAAUAAUUUCAUCUGCCGACAUGAUUGCAGAUAAAAAAAAAGUCGAAAAUAAAAAAAAAUAUGAGGGAAUACACGUGCAUUUAAUAAUUUUAUGCCUUAACG
rnacentral:lncRNA from 1 species